CGGUAAUACCGACUCCAAGAGUGUGUAUGAGAGAUGCUGCAGUUAAAAAGUCCGUAGUCAUAGAAGGGCAAAGAGAGAUGCGAGGUCUCACAGUGCGAUGAUGGAGGAGCCGAUGGGGAACAUAGUAUACCAGGGCGAGAGAUGAAAUGCCAAGACCCCUGGUGGACUGAGCGAGGCGAAGGCGAUGUUCUUGUAGGCAUUCGGUGAUCAAGGACGAAGGCUGGAGUAUCGAAAGUGAUUAGAUACCGCAGUAGUUCCAGCAGUAAAAGAUGCCGACAUGCUCAUUGGACACAGUGGGCAGGGAGAAAUCUUAGAGUUCGGGCUCUGGGGAUAGUAUGCUCGCAAGGGUGAAAAUUAAAGAAAUUGACGGAGCUACACCACAAGGAGUGGAUUGUGCGGCUUAAUUUGACUCAACGCGAGGAAACUUACCAGGGCCAAGUAUUGUGUAGAAACGAGCAAUACAGGAGUGGUGCAUGGUCGUUGGAAAUUGAUGGGAUGACUUUGACCUUAAAUGGUUGAAUGAGUGAGAUCUUUUGGACAUGUUCCGCACGGAACAGGAAGGAAAAGGCUAUAACAGAUCCGAGAUGCCCUCAGAUGCCCUGGGCUGCACGCGCAAUACAAUAGCAGGUAGAGAUAGAGACAGGAAGGUGCUCAGAUGGACUAUGUGCUGUAAGGCACAUACGAAAGAGGAAUUCCUAGUAAGUGUGU
rnacentral:rRNA from 1 species